rnacentral:rRNA from 1 species
UAUACUGCAGUCGAGCGGACAGAUGGGAGCUUGCUCCCUGAUGUUAGCGGCGGACGGGUGAGUAACACGUGGGUAACCUGCCUGUAAGACUGGGAUAACUCCGGGAAACCGGGGCUAAUACCGGAUGGUUGUUUGAACCGCAUGGUUCAGACAUAAAAGGUGGCUUCGGCUACCACUUACAGAUGGACCCGCGGCGCAUUAGCUAGUUGGUGAGGUAACGGCUCACCAAGGCGACGAUGCGUAGCCGACCUGAGAGGGUGAUCGGCCACACUGGGACUGAGACACGGCCCAGACUCCUACGGGAGGCAGCAGUAGGGAAUCUUCCGCAAUGGACGAAAGUCUGACGGAGCAACGCCGCGUGAGUGAUGAAGGUUUUCGGAUCGUAAAGCUCUGUUGUUAGGGAAGAACAAGUGCCGUUCAAAUAGGGCGGCACCUUGACGGUACCUAACCAGAAAGCCACGGCUAACUACGUGCCAGCAGCCGCGGUAAUACGUAGGUGGCAAGCGUUGUCCGGAAUUAUUGGGCGUAAAGGGCUCGCAGGCGGUUUCUUAAGUCUGAUGUGAAAGCCCCCGGCUCAACCGGGGAGGGUCAUUGGAAACUGGGGAACUUGAGUGCAGAAGAGGAGAGUGGAAUUCCACGUGUAGCGGUGAAAUGCGUAAAGAUGUGGAGGAACACCAGUGGCGAAGGCGACUCUCUGGUCUGUAACUGACGCUGAGGAGCGAAAGCGUGGGGAGCGAACAGGAUUAGAUACCCUGGUAGUCCACGCCGUAAACGAUGAGGGCUAAGGGUUAGGGGG